AACGAACGCUGGCGGCAGGCUUAACACAUGCAAGUCGAGCGCCCCGCAAGGGGAGCGGCAGACGGGUGAGUAACGCGUGGGAAUCUACCCAUCCCUACGGAAUAGCUCCGGGAAACUGGAAUUAAUACCGUAUACGCCCUACGGGGGAAAGAUUUAUCGGGGAUGGAUGAGCCCGCGUUGGAUUAGCUAGUUGGUGGGGUAAAGGCCUACCAAGGCGACGAUCCAUAGCUGGUCUGAGAGGAUGAUCAGCCACAUUGGGACUGAGACACGGCCCAAACUCCUACGGGAGGCAGCAGUGGUGAAUAUUGGACAAUGGGGGCAACCCUGAUCCAGCCAUGCCGCGUGAGUGAUGAAGGUCUUAGGAUUGUAAAAUACUUUCACCGGGGAAGAUAAUGACGGUACCCGGAGAAGAAGCCCCGGCUAACUUCGUGCCAGCAGCCGCCGUAACAC
rnacentral:rRNA from 1 species